rnacentral:rRNA from 1 species
GAAGUAAAAGUCGUAACAAGGUUUCCGUAGGUGAACCUGCGGAAGGAUCAUUACCGAGUUUUCGAGCUCCGGCUCGACUCUCCCACCCUUUGUGAACGUACCUCUGUUGCUUUGGCGGCUCCGGCCGCCAAAGGACCUUCAAACUCCAGUCAGUAAACGCAGACGUCUGAUAAACAAGUUAAUAAACUAAAACUUUCAACAACGGAUCUCUUGGUUCUGGCAUCGAUGAAGAACGCAGCGAAAUGCGAUAAGUAAUGUGAAUUGCAGAAUUCAGUGAAUCAUCGAAUCUUUGAACGCACAUUGCGCCCCUUGGUAUUCCGGGGGGCAUGCCUGUUCGAGCGUCAUUACAACCCUCAAGCUCUGCUUGGAAUUGGGCACCGUCCUCACUGCGGACGCGCCUCAAAGACCUCGGCGGUGGCUGUUCAGCCCUCAAGCGUAGUAGAAUACACCUCGCUUUGGAGCGGUUGGCGUCGCCCGCCGGACGAACCUUCUGAACU